rnacentral:rRNA from 1 species
AGAGUUUGAUCCUGGCUCAGGACGAACGCUGGCGGCGUGCUUAACACAUGCAAGUGGAGCGACGAACCAGGGCUUGUCCUGGGGCAGAGCCGCGAACGGGUGAGUAACACGUGGGUUACCUGCCCCGAUGACCGGGACAACCCGAGGAAACUCGGGCUAAUACCGGAUGUGCCCGCAAGGGGAAAGGAAGCUUCGGCCUCCGCAUCGGGAUGGGCCCGCGGCCCAUUAGCUUGUUGGUGGGGUAACGGCCUACCAAGGCAACGAUGGGUAGCUGGUCUGAGAGGACGAUCAGCCACACUGGGACUGAGACACGGCCCAGACUCCUACGGGAGGCAGCAGUGGGGAAUCUUGCGCAAUGCGCGAAAGCGUGACGCAGCAACGCCGCGUGGGGGAAGAAGGCUUCCGGGUUGUAAACCCCUUUCAGUUGGGACGAAGCCUCGUCGGUGAAUAGCCGCGCGGGGUGACGGUACCUUCACAAGAAGCACCGGCUAACUACGUGCCAGCAGCCGCGGUAAUACGUAGGGUGCAAGCGUUGUCCGGAAUUAUUGGGCGUAAAGAGCGUGUAGGCGGCCUCGUAAGUCCGCUGUGAAAGUCCAGGGCUCAACCCUGGAAAGCCGGUGGAUACUGCGAGGCUAGAGUCCGGAAGGGGCGAGUGGAAUUCCUGGUGUAGCGGUGAAAUGCGCAGAUAUCAGGAGGAACACCAAUGGCGAAGGCAGCUCGCUGGGACGGUACUGACGCUGAGACGCGAAAGCGUGGGGAGCAAACAGGAUUAGAUACCCUGGUAGUCCACGCUGUAAACGAUGGGCACUAGGUGUGGGGGGUGUCGACUCCCCCUGUGCCGACGCUAACGCAUUAAGUACCCCGCCUGGGGAGUACGGCCGCAAGGCUAAAACUCAAAGGAAUUGACGG